rnacentral:lncRNA from 1 species
AUGCCAAAGAGAAACUUGAAUUUAUGUCUAAAAAGUAAGUUGGAACUUUGUGCUCUACAGUCCAUGAUGGCUGUGCAAGAAGAAGAGCUGCAGGUGCGGGAAGGGGAGCUGCAGGUGCGGGAAGGAGAGUGCAGGUGCGGAAAGGAGAGUGAAGGUGCGGGAAGGAGAGCUGCAGGUGCGGGAAGGAGAGCUGCAGGUGCGGGAAGGAGAGCUGCAGGUGCGGGAAGGAGAGCUGCAGGUGCGGGAAGGAGAGCUGCAGGUGCGGGAAGGAGAGCUGCAGGUGCGGGAAGGAGAGCUGCAGGUGCGGGAAGGAGAGUGCAGGUGCGGGAAGGAGAGCUGCAGGUGCGGGAAGGAGAGCUGCAGGUGCGGGAAGGAGAGUGCAGGUGCGGGAAGGAGAGUGCAGGUGCGGGAAGGAGAGUGCAGGUGCGGGAAGGAGAGCUGCAGGUGCGGGAAGGAGAGCUGCAUGUGCGAGAAGAGCUGCAGGUGUGGGAAGGAGAGCUGAACGAGAGCUGCAGGUUCAGGAAGAAGAGCUGCAUGUGUAGGCUGCUGAUAUGGAGCCUCUGA